rnacentral:lncRNA from 1 species
UCAACAUUAUCAUUAUAUAAAUCAUUUCUUUUUAUUUACAUCAUAUCAUAAAUAAUUUAAUUUUUACUAAAAUAUCAUUUAAAACUAAAAAUAAUAACUGCCUAAUAAAUAAAUUUUAUUUUUUGGUAAAUAUAAAUUGAUGUUAUAAAAAUAUAACAAUUAACUUUUUAUGAAUUACAAUGAUAGAACAAAAGCCCAACAACAAAUAUAACUCACUCAACUCAAACGUAAUAAUAACUUCUCAAAGCAAAUCACAAUAAAUAAUAAAAAUACAUAAUAUUGUAAAAUAAACGUGAAAAUGACCUCCAUAACUUUUACCCUAACCGGCUAACCCUAUAUCUCAAAAGCUUCAGUUCCACAACUUAGACCUAAUUUCCUCUUUAUUUUUUUCUUGUUUAGGUGCCCAGCCCCGACCAAGAUCAAUAAUGCCUUAAGAUAAUUAAAAUUAUCCCUCUCAUGCAUAUUAACUUAACUUUAAUUAUCUUAACUUUACAAAUCCACCACUUGAACAAGAUAAACUUAUCUAUAACAAAAAAGAAGACAAGAUACAUUCAAGAUUUAAUAGAAAAUGAAAAGGUUCAAUAAAGCAUGUCUUUUAUUUUAUUAUUACAUUAAAAAAUUACAAUCAAUAGGAAAACCCCUCUUGUGAAUUUUGAAAGCAGCGCAGCAGCAGCAGCAGAAUCUAGGAAAAUGACCACCAGAUUUACUUUCUGACAUCUCGUUUUGGCUUUCACUUGCUUUAUCCUGUGUAAACAUCUGCAGUCUCAGCAACGCUCUGCCAAAAUUAAUAAUGGAAACCAAAAGAGGUAACAAGAAAUUCAAGAUCCAUCCAACCAUUCAUAAUAGUAUGCAACUAUUAAUUCACAAUAAACCCCACAAUGCAAAAUAAUUUACAACCAAACCCUAAACUUCACAGAUCCAUGAAAAAGAAAAAGAGAUAAUAGCAGCAAAAGAAGAUAAAAGUGUAGCAUUAUAAGAUCACAUCAAUCUUUGGCUAGACGAUGAAGUGAGAAAGGAGAAAGAUGUAGAGCUCCCUUCAAUCCAAACAAGGAUCUAACUUUUAAGGUAAUGAAGCUCCUGAGAUAUGGAAGCCGCAAGCCUAUCCCUCCCAACAUGGGAUAGGACUGUGGGAUCCAUAGCCAAGCAGCUCAAUAUACCCAGCAAGAACCUCUAUUGGACUUCAAGGAGCUCCAUUCCUAACCCCCCACCUUCUUACUUUAGAUUACAUCUAAAUACUUGGGUUGAUUUUCUUCUUCCUAAUAGCCAUAUUUAUUCACUAAAACCUGACGACUUUAAACAAACACUUACCCUAACCCUAGACAACUUACCAUAAACGGGAAGAAAAUACAGAAGCAAGAUUAAAAGCAAAGGCAAAACACAUCUUUUCUUUUCCCCUAUAAACUGAAAAACCGAAAGUACACAACUAUUUGACUAAACGAUCAAUCUUUAGUUAAGAUGAGAAGAUGUGAUCUCUCAACCCCACUAGAGAAAAAAGCCAAACAUUUUUUUUCCAUCACAAAAGCAAAUCCAUGAAACUAGACUAAAAAACAAAAAUCUCGGAACAGAUCCAAGACCCUUUAAAGCAAAAGCCAGACCAUACUUUAACCCGACUUCACCUACAAGAUGGUCUGAGUGCUAAGUAGAUCUUCAAACCCAAAACUUGAAGCCUCGGAGACGCUCCUGGUGUGAACCAAGGAGACCCCCAAGAGUGAACAACCCUACCUACCGAGGCCUUUGGUUACCUUCAAUAAUAAAAAGAAGAGGGUGGUAGCCAAGGGUUAAAUACUAAUAGCGGCCUAGGGUUUUGAUCAAAUAAAUAAAUGAUGAUGGUUUGGUGGUGGGUCGGGAAGUGAGCUGUAUUUGCUGUUUUCCUUGCCCUUUCCAUAAAAUUUUUUUAAAGCAAAAUAAAUAAAGAGGCUGCUCCCUGGCCUUUGCCUUUAUCAUGAAAGAGUCUCGGGAACCGGCCACAUUAGAUUCCCUGUUUUGAUAAUCACAAUUUCACAUGCCUUCGAAAACUGGUGAACAACCGAGCCCCACGAUAUUUACUACUCACCGGCCCCUAUCUUAUCUUAUCGUCAUUACCAGAUUGCCUCACCCUCUUAACAAUGUUUCUCCUUCACCAAAUUUUGAAACAUACAGUGCUCAUUUGGAUUCUCCUCAACCUGCUUUUCGACACGUUCAACAUGUUUUUUUUUGUACGAUCGCAUUGUAGGAAGCUCUUUAGAUAUUUGCGGUGGAACGGUAGUAACCACAGCAAGUUUGAAUCCAUGUAAUUUUUGUAUUAUCCGAAUUUUAUUUAAAACUUUAGCUGGAUAAAUUGUUUGAGU